UGGGGAAUAGCUCAGUGGUAGAGCACAUAUUUAGCAUGCAUGAGGUCCUGGGUUCAAUCCCCAGUACCUUCG
rnacentral:tRNA from 1 species